AUACGUAGGGUGCGAGCGUUGUCCGGAAUUACUGGGCGUAAAGAGCUCGUAGGUGGUUUGUCGCGUCGUCUGUGAAAUUCCGGGGCUUAACUCCGGGCGUGCAGGCGAUACGGGCAUAACUUGAGUACUGUAGGGGAGACUGGAAUUCCUGGUGUAGCGGUGAAAUGCGCAGAUAUCAGGAGGAACACCGGUGGCGAAGGCGGGUCUCUGGGCAGUAACUGACGCUGAGGAGCGAAAGCAUGGGUAGCGAACAGGAUUAGAUACCCUGGUAGUCCAUGCCGUAAACGGUGGGCACUAGGUGUAGGGGUCUUCCACGACUUCUGUGCCGUAGCUAACGCAUUAAGCGCCCCGCCUGGGGAGUACGGCCGCAAGGCUGAAACUCAAAGGAAUUGACGGGG
rnacentral:rRNA from 1 species